rnacentral:rRNA from 1 species
UCGUAGUUGGCUACGUAUCGGCUUUCCGGCCUUCCCCUCAGCCGGCUCGCCACGGCGCCCGGGGAGACGCCCUCGGGUGCUGGCUGGCGGCUUGCCAUGUCACCUCGCGCGGGGUUGUUUCCUCUGCAGACGACUGACGUGACCUAGCGGGUCGUGUAAGCGGUCAAGUAGCCUUGUUGCUACGUGUCGCUGAGCGUCACCCGCCCUUGGCUAUAUUU